rnacentral:lncRNA from 1 species
GGCGGGCGGAGCCCGGCGCCGCGGCCAGGAUUUCCCACCUCGCUCCCGCGACUCCGCUGCGGGGGUACUUAACCGAAACUAGCAAUCCCAGGCGGUACAAGGCCCUCCAUCGUAGGCAAAGCACUACCUGAAUGUAGAUUUGGGCCAUACGUUGGAAAAUAAGACAUGAGAGUAUGCUCCGAUCAACUUUUACUGUUCACUGGACAACUAUUUUGGGAAUUUGCAGACCUAUAAAGCCCAUCUAUAAAUCUCAAGCAUGUCCACUUUCAGAGAAGAGAAAUGCUGACAACCAUUUAGUCUCUGAGGACAACACUUUUAAAGUUAUACAGGACUCCAUCAUAGGACUGGAGAGAGAUUGGAUGUCAGAGUGAUUGAUGUGCUCCUACUGGAAGAAGGCAAACAUCCAUAUGUGAACUGCCUGUGGGGUUUCCAAGGAAAGGAACGGCAGGCAGCCUCUAUGAGCUUAAAGAAGAUAACUGGGACUUUAGUCCUAUAACCUCAAGGAACAGUAUUCUGUGAACCAUCUGAGAAGCUUGGAAGAGGACCCCAAACUCCAAAUAAGAAGCUCAGUGUGUCUGACACCUUGACUGCAGGCUUGGGAGGUCCUGAGCAGAAGAUCCAGUUCAACAGUGCCUGGACUCCUGAUCCACAAAAACUGAUAACAAAUAUUUAUUGUUUUAAGAUGCUAAGUUUGUAGUCAUUUUUUAUACAGCAACAGAAAACUAAACACACACAUAAACAGUUAUAAGUGCUCACUGUAUAUGAGGCUUUUCAUUAAUAAUCUAUAUUUUAUAAUAGAAUUAGAAUAUAGAUCUGUGAAGCUGAAGACACUCAAUCCUUGCUAGAUUUAAAUCAGGAAAAUCAGCUGAGAAUCAUUCCUUGAUAGAACCUGGAAAACAAGACCCUAUGAGAGACCCUGGGAAUUACAUUAAAUUCACUGUGGUUCCCAGUGUCACUGAAGAGGUUUUCCUUUCAUAGUCAGGUAGUCACCAUACUGUUAAGCAUUUGAACACAUGGGCAACUUCCAGAAUAGUUAUGACAUUGAUAUACCAAUCUCCAAAAUUCCUAGAAUACCAUGUUUUCAUGGUUGACCUUCAAAUCAGUCAGUUCUUUGUAACAUUGAGCCAUAAAGAUAGGGCAAAUACUUAAUGUUUUACAUAUAUUCAGAGAUUGACCCUCAAAAUACAGCCCAGAGAAACUCAAAAGAAUUAACUCUAUUUCUUCAAAUUGUGUGACGCCACCAAGGCCAGAUGACUUCAGCAUUGGGAAGGCAAUAUCCAGCUGUCAUCUUCUUGAUCCUCAUAUGCUACUACUAGCAUCUAGCAUUUACUGAGCAGAUAGUUUUAUUGUCCAGUUUUUAAAGAUAAGAAAAUUGAGGUAUUAGGAAAGUUAAGUUGGUUGCCUAGGGAAACACGAAGAUAUAGCCCAGAUUCACUCCCAGGCAGGCAGAUGCCAGUGUCUGCUCUCUUUACCACCGAAAUAUCCUGCUACAUGUACAAUUUCAAUAAAUAUCUGGACUUACUGGAACAAAACAAAUCAACAA